UGGAAGACUAGUGAUUUUGUUGUAUAAUGAAAACUGAACAACAAAUCGCAGUCUUCCUCA
rnacentral:pre_miRNA from 1 species